UACGGGGGGAGCAAGCGUUGUUCGGAUUUACUGGGCGUAAAGGGCGCGUAGGCGGCCACUGCAAGUCAGUUGUGAAAUCUCCGGGCUUAACUCGGAAAGGUCAACUGAUACUGCAGGGCUAGAGUGCAGAAGGGGCAACUGGAAUUCUCGGUGUAGCGGUGAAAUGCGUAGAUAUCGGGAGGAACACCAGUGGCGAAGGCGACUACCUGGCCUGUUCUUGACGCUGAGGCGCGAAAGCUAGGGGAGCAAACGGG
rnacentral:rRNA from 1 species